CUCCCCUUGCCUAAUGUACAGUAGACAUUUAGAAAAUAUUUGUUGGACAGUGAGGAGUCAGUAGGUAGAAAAUUCCACGUGGACCAUCUACACAUGUUCUCCUGGAUGUUUGCCCCAUGACAGCCCAGAGGAGACAUCAUUUUUCAAUCAUCUCUGCACCUCAACUCUAAUAUUUUAUACAUAAUCCUAUUGCAUGCAGCCUUGAUUCAGGAAUAUUCUAGAGGUGGCACCUGCAAUCAAAGCCUCCUCCUGCUCACUGUCAGUAGUUCAGCUUUCUGUUCUGAGAGCCCAGACUUCCAGGUACUAGUCCUGAAGAAAAUGAAUUCUUCGAAGCUCGCCUGCAGAUUUCUUUUCUUGAGCACUACCCCUUCAUCCCUGCUUCCACAUGUGAGAUCCCCAGGGCUGGGAUAAAGGUGAAGUGAGCAAGUCAUCUAGGACACAACAUUGAAGGGGACACCACUCUCACAGUUUUGCAAAUACCUUCAGCUCCUCACUUGCCUCACCCUGGUCCUGGCCUGGAUGAUCAUAGGUACCUCACCUGGGUUCAUGGUGCAAAGUGUGAACAUUCAGUAUGGUGAACUGAAGAAAAACAAAAAUCGAAUGAGAAAUCAAAAAAGCAGAAUUUUCAUUUUGACUUUAUUACUAACUCAACAUGAUAUCAAGAAAAACCUG
rnacentral:lncRNA from 1 species